rnacentral:rRNA from 1 species
AGAGUUUGAUCCUGGCUCAGGACGAACGCUGGCGGCGUGCUUAACACAUGCAAGUGGUGCGACGAACCAGGGCUUGCCCUGGGGCAAAGCCGCGAACGGGUGAGUAACACGUGAGUAACCUGCCCCGAUGACCGGGACAACCCGAGGAAACUCGGGCUAAUACCGGAUGUGGCGCACAGGCGUAAGCUUGUUCGCUAAAGGAAGCUUCGGCCUCCGCAUUGGGAGGGGCUCGCGGCCCAUUAGCUUGUUGGUGGGGUAACGGCCUACCAAGGCAACGAUGGGUAGCUGGUCUGAGAGGACGAUCAGCCACACUGGGACUGAGACACGGCCCAGACUCCUACGGGAGGCAGCAGUGGGGAAUCUUGCGCAAUGCGCGAAAGCGUGACGCAGCAACGCCGCGUGGGGGAAGACGGCCUUCGGGUUGUAAACCCCUUUCAGGAGGGACGAAGGCUCGCCGGUGAAUAGCCGUGCGAGUUGACGGUACCUCCACAAGAAGCUCCGGCUAACUACGUGCCAGCAGCCGCGGUAAUACGUAGGGAGCAAGCGUUGUCCGGAAUCAUUGGGCGUAAAGCGCGCGUAGGUGGCCUCAUAAGUCCGCUGUGAAAGUCAAAGGCUCAACCUUUGAAAGCCGGUGGAUACUGUGGGGCUAGAGUACGGAAGAGGCGAGUGGAAUUCCUGGUGUAGCGGUGGAAUGCGCAGAUAUCAGGAGGAACACCAAUAGCGAAGGCAGCUCGCUGGGACGUUACUGACACUGAGGCGCGAAAGCGUGGGGAGCGAACAGGAUUAGAUACCCUAGUAGUCC